rnacentral:lncRNA from 10 species
CUUUAAAGGAAAGAUCUGUCGUGUCUGUUCUUGUCAGUGAUGAGAAUCCAAACCCCUCCCAGAAGAGGGAGGGGACAACUCACCCCACAAGGCUCAUCCAAGGGAAACAAACUCCAGCAAGGCCCACUCCCAGCAGCAGCCACCGUGUGGGGAAACCAUACUACAAAGAUGUUCCAAGGGUCAGGGGCCUCCCAGGGUCAGAGGGGCUGCCCUCAUCCUUCUCUCCAGCACUAGUGUGUCUCAAGCUUCCAACAAAUCACAUGGGCCGCCAAGCCCAUGGGGCCUGUGAAGCUGGCCACCUCCCCGCAAGGCUGGCCUUGCCAUGUCUCGGUAUGGAAGAGGCUCCUCCCCGUGCAUCUUGUCCCAAGGGGCUGGGGCCAGGAGAGGUGGGCCCUGGGCUGGGGAAACCUGAGUCCUCAGGGCAGAAAGCACAGGGCCCAAGACACAUCCCAACCUGUUUAGGAUCAGGAUCAGAGAAUCCAUCAGAAUCACAGAAUCCUUGGGCAUCUCCUCCAUUUUCCUGCCCUUGAAGCAAACCUGGCCAAACUAUCUCUGAGAUGGCAGCUGCUACAUCCCUCCAGGGACCAAGGGACCAAGAAGAGACCAGCAUGGAUCCCAAAGGACUCCCUAGGACAGAAGUCAUGCUACUAGCCCAGCCCUCCAGGAGAGAUGACACCUAAAGUAUGUCAGCUAGACAGCUGUCUUUCUUGUUUUUUCUCACCCUC